rnacentral:rRNA from 1 species
UACGAAGGGGGCUAGCGUUGUUCGGAUUUACUGGGCGUAAAGCGCGCGUAGGCGGAUCGCUAAGUCAGGGGUGAAAUCCCAGGGCUCAACCCUGGAACUGCCUUUGAUACUGACGAUCUGGAGAUCGGGAGAGGUUGGUGGAAUUCCGAGUGUAGAGGUGAAAAUUCGUAGAUAUUCGGAGGAACACCAGAAGCGAAGGCGGCCAACUGGCCCGAUACUGACGCUGAGGUGCGAAAGCGUGGGGGAGCAAACAGG